AUAAUAAUAGUAUCAGAAUUGGAAACAAAUUUCAAUUAUUAGAAUAAUUGAAGCUAUCCAUUCUAGAUGGUUUACAUCACUUUGAAGUAUAAAUGUGUGCUGCUUGUAUCAUUCACAGACAAGGCUUCAUUAUUAUUCUGAGGACUUACUAUUUCUGGGUAUACCAGAAGAUUCCCACUUGGAAGCCGUACUAUUGCCAUUAGCGACCAGUGUCCUUGGAAGAUGAUAGUUUAUGAACUCCUGUUUCCAGAGUCCACUGUGCAUCUGUAUGACUCUCUUAGAUAAUUGUCUCUGUGUGACAACUCAGGCUUCCAGAGUGAAGAAGAUUCCGCUGUCUUGGAACAUAUGGCUUUAUUAGUCAUGUGGGAAGAGAGAAGAUGAGAAAUUGUGUGUUUAAUCUUUACUACUUUCACCUGGAAUGGACAUUGGUGACUUCCAAUCAUUUUAUUGACCUAGCAAAUUACACUGGUAUAUCUAGGCACUUGGGGAAUUUUUAAUCCUCCCGUAUUGCCUUGGAGAAGCAGGAAUAUUCCUGUGUGUGAGAAUAGCUAUCCUAAUUAGCUUUUCAUAUUUGUUUACCUUUAUAUGUGGUUAUUUAGAAGGUGUUGAUUAUUAGGUGAAUAGGAAGGUAUUUGCUAAGUGCACAUACACCAUAUCUCACACCAAAUUAUCCUAAUUCCAUUAUGCUUACUUGGAGUCAUUAUUUAUGUUUUAUUUAUAUCUCAGUAUAUUUAUAUUUCACUUAAUGUGUUUGUAAUUUGCCUGUAAAUGUUUCGGCUUCUAAGAGUCUGUACCAGAUUCUAUAGUCCCUGGUUUCUCAAAUGGGCUGACACAUUUCACAGGGUUUUGGAUGCUAAAGGAUAAAAAUGGUAACCUUUGUAUCUUACAUAAUGGUAAAUAAUCACAACAUUAUUUUUGUGGUGAAACAAAAACAAACAUACCUCAGAAUACCAAAAAAUGAAUUUUAAAGAUAAAAUAUAAGACCUCAAUGAAAUUUUAUGCUCAAGCAGUUUGCUUUUAGCUGUGUUGCAGAGGAACAUAUGUACUUUCCUCUGCAAACAAGAUGACUUCACUAGAUAGGGCUAAGAAACACUAGCUUGUGUACCUACCUUGUUAACCUUGAUUUGGAUAUUUCCUUAGUUGUCUUCAUUUGCAAAUGAUCAUAUCAUGUUUUUGAAAAUGGAGCUCGUUCAGGAACCCAUUGUUACAUUUAUCAUGAAAAUAAGAUUUUCUUUUGUAAAGAGGAAUUUAGAAUUUCUGUUCUAUGUCUUAUGAGUAGUUGGAUAGGAGAAAUUGGAUAAUAAAAUUGACAAUCAUGUUUGUUAUUCUAGACCACCUUAUGGAACUGUGAGAAGAUACUCAACUGUACCCACUCUUGCCCAUUUUACCAUAUGAUUCUGUUUAUGGUCCAUAUUACCUAUACCUAUUUGAGUCUGUAUUGAUUCAUUCAUCAAACAACUUGUGAGUAUCUACUGUGUGUGGGUGGCAUUGUGCCAGGUGCUGAGGAUUAGGACAAGAUGAAGAAGUCAGUUCCUAUCUUCAGAGACAUUUUGUCUAGGACAUGAUGGCUGUAGGGAUUGUGGAAAUUUCUCAUUCACUUCACAUAUAUUUAUUGAGCACUGUUAUCUGCAGGCACUCAACCAUACUACAGUGAAUAAGAAGCAGUAGAGAGUACUGUAUAAAAGCCAGACAACCUGGAAUGAGAUUACACUUUGGGGCUACAUGGAAGCUCUUAAACCACCUUAUGCCCCAGUUUCCUCAGAUGUAAACAGAAGUAAUGCAAAAUUUAUUGAGUUAUAGAAUUAUUAGGAAGAUCAUAUGAGUUAGUAUGUAUAAAUCACCAUGUAACAUUUAGCUCUUACUAUUGUUUCUCACAUUUUUUUCCCUUCAUGCUUUAGUCCCUCUUCAAAUCUAUAUUCUUUCUCAUUACUCCCUUUCUCUUAGACCAAGCAGUCCUGUUAAUGAAUCAUGAAUUUGAAUAUUGCUAUUUAUCAGUAACCCUGUUAAAAAUAUUGCCUGUUAAAACACAGUGAAAAAAUGUAACUCUGAAAUAAACUGUCUGCUUUUUCCAUAACCCUUUCUUUUGUUUGUUUCUUUGAAAUCAUAAAAAAGCCAUUGCAAAUAACAUUCUUCAAAAGACUUAACCAGGCAAGAUGUUUGAUCCAAGGGCAAGACAGGCCCAAUCAGACGUUGUGUUUUGCAGGAGCCUCUUCCACUUUGCCAGAUGCUGAAGUCUGAAAUGUUUCCUGUCCACCUCCAUUACCAGGGCCAUUUGCUUGUUCCCUGAGCAUAUGUGGGCGUUCACAGGGGGCAUACAAUUGUCAAAAACCUGCAGGGCUACCUUGGCAGCAGAGAAGCUAAUACCAGCUACUUAAUAAUUUUAUACCGCUUUAUGAAGUGCUUCACCAGUGUGAUUUUUGCAAAAGAAUAGGUGUAGAGAGAACUCAGUAGAGACCCAUUCUUUGGCAGUAUUUGUAUUUUACAGUAACCAUACAUAUAAAUUUCCCAUUUUUGUAGUAAUAUGGCUUUAAUCUUAACGAAUACCCUUUUGGUGGUUUUCUUCAGAGAUUAGAAUUAACAUUCAGAAGUGAACAGAAAAUGUUAAAGUAUUAUUAGUCUUCUGAGAAUUUUGCUUCUGGCAAUGGAGUUUUAGAGAUUUCAUCUUGGUUUAGGUUUAGCAAAAUACUGCAAUUUCUGCUUGUUAGAAGGAAACUCUCCAAGGUUUCUGUCUAUUUCAGUCUAGGGUUUGAUUUUUCAAAGCAGAAAAAAAUUAUUUUCCCGGACCCUGAAUAUAACCUGAAGUCAAAAAUCAAUUGAAAAGCCAGCA
rnacentral:lncRNA from 1 species